rnacentral:rRNA from 1 species
UACGUAGGGGGCAAGCGUUGUCCGGAAUCAUUGGGCGUAAAGCGCGUGUAGGCGGCUCGGUAAGUCUGCUGUGAAAGUCCAGGGCUCAACCCUGGGAUGCCGGUGGAUACUGUCGAGCUCGAGUCCGGAAGAGGCGAGUGGAAUUCCUGGUGUAGCGGUGAAAUGCGUAGAUAUCUGGAGGAACACCGGUGGCGAAGGCGGCAUCCUGGACCGACACUGACACUGAGGAGCGAAAGCCAGGGGAGCAAACGGG